rnacentral:rRNA from 1 species
CAGCAUGAGUAGCAAUACUUGAUGGCGACCGGCAAACGGGUGAGGAACACGUACACAACCUCCUUCAAGCGGGGAAUAGCCCAGAGUAAAUUGGAUUAAUACCCAUAAUAUAUUUGAUAAGGCAUCUUAUUAAUAUUAAAGCUUCGGCACUUGAUGAUGGGUGUGCGGCUGAUUAGAUAGUUGGCGGGUAACGGCCCACCAAGUCUACGAUCAGUAGCUGAUGUGAGAGCAUGAUCAGCCACACGGGCACUGAGACACGGGCCCGACUCCUACGGGAGGCAGCAGUAAGGAAUAUUGGACAAUGGACGAAAGUCUGAUCCAGCCAUGCCGCGUGAAGGAUUAAGGUCCUCUGGAUUGUAAACUUCUUUUAUAUGGGACGAAAAAAGGGCAUUCUUGUUCACUUGACGGUACCAUAUGAAUAAGCACCGGCUAACUCCGUG